rnacentral:rRNA from 1 species
GACAGAGGGGGCAAGCGUUGCUCGGAAUCACUGGGCGUAAAGGGCGCGUAGGCGGGAGGGCAAGUCGGUCGUGAAAUCCUUCGGCUCAACCGAAGAACGUCGGCCGAAACUGCCUUUCUUGAGGGAUGCAGAGGAGACUGGAAUUCCCGGUGUAGCGGUGAAAUGUGUAGAGAUCGGGAGGAACACCGGUGGCGAAGGCGGGUCUCUGGGCAUCCCCUGACGCUGAGGCGCGAAAGCGUGGGGAGCAAACGGG